UUUAGUAUAAACCGGUCGCCGUAGUUUUUGUAUAAACCAGAUUACAGUUCCGCUUCCGAGUAGGUCACAACAUCAGAGAACCGUCUUCAGAAAGUUAAAAACAAGAUGCAAAGUGACAUUCAAGGGUUGAUUGCUAAGUUCACCAACAAGACCAAUGAAGGUGUGCGACCAGCUUGUCAGCGGUGUGGCUAUGCUGGCCACUUGACCUACCAGUGCCGGAACUUCAUCAAGGCUGAUCCCAACAAGGAUAUCCUCCUGGACGUGAGCAGUACCAGCUCUGACUCCAGUGAUGAAAACUUUGUGUCACCUCUCACGCAGCUCAAGAAAGCAGAAGAGAAGAAAACAUUGAAGAAGAUGAAGAAGCACAAAGUGAAAGAGAAGCAUGAGAGACACAAGAAGACAAAGAAGAAGAGUUUCGAGCCAAGCCAUGCCAGACACCGAUGCCCAGAAAGUACAGGUCCCCAGUCCAUCAUGGUGUAAAGAAGCUGUCCAAUGUACACCAGAAGCAUGGCACACCGUGCUUCACAGUAUGAGGUCCCACAAUGAUAUGGAAGAGUAUAAAUGCGACAAAACCCUUUCCAUAUUCAUAUGAAAUCUCUGUAAAAAACAGUUGAUGGUACGAUUCUGUCUAAAUCAUGAGCACGUGUUAAUGAAUCGCUAUCAAAUAGUGAUAAUACCAGGUGUUCGCAAAAGGUGAGAGUAUCCUGCCCCAACGGUGUCACAAGAAAUCCCUGGUGUUGAGAUCCAUUUUCAUUGUGUGCAAAUUGUGAUUAUUUUCAUGCAGAGUUACAAGUCAUAAAAUAUUAGAGCAUCUUGUGAGGUACAGUGCUUCAGACAACAAGAGAGCUGUACUUUUGAAAUAGUCAACCAGUGCACUAACAAGUUGCCACUGAGCAUUAAGCCAGUGCUUGUGAUAUUUUCUUCAGUCUUUUCCCCGGCCUUCGCCCUUGCCCAAAACUACCUGAUCCAGCAUCAGCCAUCCUGUAUUACAGAAACUUAUCAAAUGAAACAGCAAAGGCUGAUUGUUGUCAGAGACCAUAAAACAAGAUUUCAAUUAAAAAAGUUUAUUUUAAUGAGCAUAGAGAAAAACAUUACAUACAUCAGAUGGAAAUCUUUCAUGAAUCACCUCGACAACACAAGAUGGAAUAACUUUUCUCUGAUUCUUCAACUAUUUCUGCAAAUCCCCAAAGUGAACCUCUUGUUUAGGAGGUGUAGAUAGAUUCUGAAAUGAAAAAGUGUCUUUUAUUAGUCAAGCUAUGCACAACAUUACAAAAAAAUAUCAUACCAUUUACAUAUAUAUUUUUGUCAUUAAAUCUGGAGGGAUGCUUAUAUAAGAAGUAACUUGUAUUAAUGAUAUAUGCAUAAUUUUUAUUACAUAUUAAUAAUUCAAUAAAUACCAAAACAGUUUAUAGUUCUAUCAUGUUGACAUGAUGUGUUUAUUACUGUAGGUUUGAAUACUUCUUGAAAUAUUGUGGGCAUGUUUCAAUAUCACUGAUGUAAUUUAAUAACCUUACAAGUUACAUAUGCUUUCACAACUUGCUGGCAAAUAAACAUUUAUGGUACUCGAA
rnacentral:misc_RNA from 1 species